ensembl:lncRNA
GGGCGGGGGGGUGCGGGGGGAGCCGGAGGGUUACCUGGGACGAGGCUUUGGAGCACAGGCAGGCGGCGACGGUGGCAGUGUAGAAGCCAAGAACAAAAAUUGGCAGAAAUUAUAUUCUGUAUACGAGAGAAUGAAGAGUAUACUCAUGACUAAGCACAGGAACCUGGAAAACCACAGGAUUCCUGGGAAGCCACGGAGGAUGGGGUGAACUCAGAGCUGGAGCAUGAGGAGUUUUUUGGAACUUGUGAAUGGGAAGUUAUCCUGGCUUUGGUCAGGUGAUCCACAGUGACCGGUCAGCCCACCAAGAAGAUACCUCAGCAACCAGUUUCAUCCCUGAAAAAUGCACUGAACUUCCACCCCUGCCAAAACGAGGGAUGUGCUCUUCACAUCGGUUUCAGAGCCAAUACAGAGCCCUGUCACAGCUCUCAAGCCAUGAUCUGGUUCUAGCCACCUCUGGACAAUCAGAAGUCUGGAUUGAAAGUGUGGGACCAUGGUGACUUCAAUUUGAAUGAGGCUGAGCUACUAUGGAAUGAAUAAUAGGUUGACAAAUACUUCUAAGAUCACUAAGUCCAACUGUCAGCCCAUCCUCACUGUGCCCUGGACUUCAGGAGGGCCAACUUUGACUUCUUCAAAGACCUACUUGGAGGUAUCCCAUGGGCUAGUGUUAGAAGAAAAGGUGCCAGAAGGCUGGAGGAUAGCCAGUGUCAUUCCAAGUCUUCAAAAAGGGCAAGGAGGAUCUGGGAAACUACAGGCCAGUGAGCUUCACCUCUGUCCCUGGAAAGGGGAUGGAAAAACUUGUUCUGGAUGCCAUCUCCAAGCAAUUGGAAGAGAAGUUAUCAGUAGUCAACAUGGAUUCACCAAGAGGAAAUCAUGCUUGACCAACCUGAUUGCCUUCUAUCAUGUCAUCACUCGCUGGGUAGAUUGGGGAGAGCAGUGGGUGUUGUGUACCUUGACUUCAGCAAGGCGUUUGACGCUGUCUCCCACAACAUCCUUGUUAUGAAAUUAAGAAAAUGUGGGAUAAAUGAGUGGAUGGUGAUGUAGAUUGAGAACUGUCUGACUGACAGAGCUCAGAGGCUUAUCAUCAGCAGUGCAGAGUCUGGUUGGAGACAUGUAACUAAUGGAGUUCCGCAGGGGUUGGUUCUGCAUCUGAUCUUUUUCAAAACUAUCAGCAACCUGGAUGAAGGGAUAGAGUCCACCCUCAGCAAGUUUGUUGAUAACACAAAGCUGAGAGGAUUGGCUGACACACCUGAAGGCUGUGAUACCAUUAAACAAGACCUGUACAGACUGGAGAGUUGGGCAGGGAGGAACCUGAUGAGGUUUAACAAGAGCUAGUGCAAGUCUUGCAGCUGGAGAGGAAUAACCACAUCAGUAUAAGAUAGAGGAUGACCUGCUGGAGAGGAGCUCUGCAGAGAAGGACCUGGGGGUCCUGGUGGACAAGUUUGGCCAUGAGCCACCAGUAUGCCUUUGUGGCCAAGAAGGGUGCAUUAAAAAGAGGUUGGCCAGAAGGCCGAGGAAGGUUAUCCUCCCCCUCUAUUCUGCACUGGGGAGGCUGUAUUUAGACCACUGUGUCCAGUUCUGGGCUCCCCAGUUCAGAAAAGACAAGAAUCUCCUAUCAGGAGUCCAGGAAAGGGCCACAAAGAUGUUACAGGGCCUGGAGCAUGUCCUGUAUGAAGAAAGGCUGAGUAACCUGUAUCUGUUCAGCCUGGGGAAAAGAAGAAUGAGAGGGAAUCUGAUAAAUGUUUAUAAAUAUCUAAGGCCAGGUUCUUCUCAGUGAUAUGCAGAGAUAGGACAAGGAGUAAUGGCCUAAAACUUGAACACAGGAAGUACUGUAUUUAUACAUGGAAGAACUUCUUUACAGUAAGGAUGAUGGAGCACUAGAACAGGCUGCCCAGAGAGACUGUGGAGUCUCCUUCUAUGGAGAUAUUCAAGACCCAUUUGGGCACCUACCUGUGUAACCUAUUGUAGGGUACCUGCUUUAGCAUGGGGGUUGUACUUGAUGAUUGCUUGAAGUCCCUUCCAAUCCCUGGGAUUCUCUUACUCUGUAAUUCUGUGCUUACUAACCAUGUCCCUCAGUGUCAUGUCCACAUGAUUCUUGAACACCUCCAGGGAUGAUGACUCCACCACCUCCCUGGGCAGCCUGUGCCACUGCCUCACUGCUCUUUUGGAGAAGAAAUAGCCCCUAAUAUCUAACCUGAACCUUCUCUGGUGCAACCUGAAGCUAUUCCCUCUCAUCUUCCUCUGUUACCUGGGAGAAGAGGCUGACCCUCACCUAACCACAUCCUUCUUUCAGGUGGCUGUAGAGAGUGAGAAGGUCUCCCCUGAGCCUCCUCUUCCCCAGACUGAACAAUCCCAGUUCCCUCAGCCACUUCCCAUAAGUUUGUGCACCCGACCCUUCAGAGCUCUGUUGCCCUUCUCUGAACACACUCCAGGGCCUCAAUGUCUUUUUUGUAAUGAGAUAGUACUGCAGGGGUGACAGCGAUUUCCAGAGACAAGCAGGCCCCAGCAUCUGCUGCAGAGGAUCUGCACAGAGAACCCUCCAAUGUUUUUCUAUCUCAUUUCCUUUUGUUUUGGAGCCCUUUUUGGACUUGGCAUUAAUCAUCAUGAAAAAAUAAAAAAAA